CCUCAGGUGUUGUUGCAGACACAAGCCAGCCGAGGAAUACAGCUUGCCUUAGGUGAAACUGAUUAGUGAAAUAU